rnacentral:rRNA from 1 species
AUUGAACGCUGGCGGCAUGCUUUACACAUGCAAGUCGAACGGCAGCGCGGGCUUCGGCCUGGCGGCGAGUGGCGAACGGGUAAGUAAUACAUCGGAACGUGCCCAGUAGUGGGGGAUAGCUCGGAGAAAGCCGGAUUAAUACCGCAUACGACCUGAGGGUGAAAGCGGGGGAUCUUCGUACCUCGCGCUAUUGGAGCGGCCGAUGGCAGAUUAGCUAGUUGGUGGGGUAAAGGCUUACCAAGGCGACGAUCUGUAGCUGAUCUGAGAGGACGACCAGCCACACUGGGACUGAGACACGGCCCAGACUCCUACGGGAGGCAGCAGUGGGGAAUUUUGGACAAUGGGCGAAAGCCUGAUCCAGCAAUGCCGCGUGUGUGAUGAAGGCCUUCGGGUUGUAAAGCACUUUUGGCGGGAACGAAAAGGACUGUGCCAAUACCACGGUUCGAUGACGGUACCCUAAGAAUAAGCACCGGCUAACUACGUG